AUCUCCCUGGGCAAGCAUUAUAUCCAAAUCAGAAACUCUGGAACAUUCUUGACUUGGGGAGGAACAGUUUCCCAUUGAUUCUGAGGUAGAGCAGACAACAUGGAUGCUGGACCAAAGAUGAGAGUCAAGACACUGGACACCUCCCUGACUGCAGAUUCUUGGGUAGUGUCCUGAAGAGCGGAGGCAUUUUUUUCCUUAGUGUGAAAAGCAAGAAGACAAAGAGCCAAGAAGAGCAUUUCCAGUUUGAUGGAACAGUCCGUGCUGGCGGUUGCUAUAGUAACCUGACGUCAUCAUCGUGAUCAUGACAAUUUUUCACUAGAGACUUCCAUGGCCUGGCAGUAAAAGCAGGGCCUUGUCUUCAGAACUCCUUAAACAACUCAAGCUCAGAUUACACUGUUCUGCUAUCGUGGCCUCAUGAGCCCUACUCAGCAACCAAUGAGGAGGAGAUAGGAGAAGAAAUCCUGCCCUUUUUGCCAAGAUACCUGGGUGUAAGGCCACAUGCGAUGGUUGAUCCCUGA
rnacentral:lncRNA from 1 species